GGCGGGAGUGGACGAGGAAUCCCACUCCGUCAGAGGUCGAGUUCGGCUGCCUAUUUAAAUAUAGGCACGGACAAGUGUGCUUAGUCGUUAGGACAAGAGGACACUCUGGAAUCCUGUUGGGAGGUGGAAUCAGACGGUCCAUCUCAUCCCAAAAGCAGCUAAGGUUAAGCUGCAGUUUGGGCCACGUACUGAAGUAACUGUUACAGGUCUUCUUUACCACCGAAGAAGGACGGAAUCCUACUAGAGGCCAGAAAAAAUGUUCCAGACACGAUGGAAGGCCCUCACUUCUGCCUGCUCUCUUCAAACGCCUAAAGAAACACAUGGGUGGAGGAAAGACCUGUGCGACUGGCUGAUUGACCCCUGCUGAAAGCCGAGGACCUUGUCCACAGACGGGAACAGUUCUCUUCAUGAAUGAAGGUCAGAGACAAGUGGGUGCUGCCAUGGUGGACAACACAAUGUCAUCUGGGAUGGCUGAACCUCUACCCCCCAGCACAUCAGCGCCAC
rnacentral:lncRNA from 1 species